rnacentral:rRNA from 1 species
CGCGUAGGCGGCCUGGUAAGUCAGGAGUGGAAGUCCUGCUUUUAAGGUGGGAAUUGCUUUGGAUACUGCUGGGCUUGAGUGCAGGAGAGGUAAGUGGAAUUCCCGGUGUAGCGGUGAAAUGCGUAGAGAUCGGGAGGAACACCAGUGGCGAAGGCGACUUACUGGACUGUAACUGACGCUGAGGCGCGAAAGUGUGGGGAGCAAACA